rnacentral:rRNA from 1 species
UGCGUAGGUGGGAUGGUAAGUCAGUGGUGAAAUCUCCGGGCUUAACUCGGAAACUGCCGUUGAUACUAUCAUUCUUGAAUAUUGUGGAGGUAAGCGGAAUAUGUCAUGUAGCGGUGAAAUGCUUAGAUAUGACAUAGAACACCGAUAGCGAAGGCAGCUUGCUACACAAUUAUUGACACUGAGGCACGAAAGCGUGGGGAUCAAACAGGAUUAGAUACCCUGGUAGUCCACGCCCUAAACGAUGGAUACUCGACAUACGCGAUACACAGUGUGUGUCUGAGCGAAAGCAUUAAGUAUCCCACCUGGGAAGUACGACCGCAAGGUUGAA